CAGAAGAAUCCAGUCCAACUCUUGGCACCAUAGAGAACCACCCAGAAAUCGGACUGUACAUUUGUGAACUCUGUUCUGACACUUCCUGAUCUUUGAGAACGCAAUCCAUAGGAGGUACCUGCUUCUCAUCACUGUCAGGAAGAACGCUCAAGGCUGCUCAGAAACAAUCAGCUCCUACAAGCUAAUGAGAACCUUAGCAGUACUUUAUUGUAGAAACCCUAUAGAAGUCUGUGUCACAGGGCAAUGACAUACACACUAAAAGACAGGUUGGUGACAGCUGGUUCCAGUACACGAGACCCUCUCAUAGCUCUAACCCGUGAUUCAUCCAAUAGAAAAAUAUCUGGAUAA